GAUGAAAUGUACAUUUCAUCUCCCAAAAUGAAUGAAUGAUUUUAAUUUGAUAAAAUUCCUCCCAUGACCAAUUUGUGUUUGCCUCAUAUCCCCUCCCUCUUCAUCUUCAAUCCCAUUCUAUCCCAUCCCUUUUAUUAACCAAUGAAGUCUCAAUAUCCAAAGGCUGAUUGGUUCUUCAAUAACUUCAUGUUAGAUGAACCAAUAUAAGUA
rnacentral:lncRNA from 1 species